GAUGAACGCUAGCGGCAGGCUUAACACAUGCAAGUCGAGGGGUAUAGUUCUUCGGAAUUAGAGACCGGCGCACGGGUGCGUAACGCGUAUGCAAUCUACCUUUCACAGAGGGAUAGCCCCAGAGAAAUUUGGAUUAAUACCUCAUAGUAUAGCAGUUUCGCAUGAAACCACUAUUAAAGUCACAACGGUGAAAGAUGAGCAUGCGUCCCAUUAGCUAGUUGGUAAGGUAACGGCUUACCAAGGCAACGAUGGGUAGGGGUCCUGAGAGGAGAUCCCCCACACUGGUACUGAGACACGGACCAGACUCCUACGGGAGGCAGCAGUGAGGAAUAUUGGACAAUGGGCGCAAGCCUGAUCCAGCCAUGCCGCGUGCAGGAUGACGGUCCUANGGAUUGUAAACUGCUUUUAUACAGGAAGAAACACUAC
rnacentral:rRNA from 1 species